rnacentral:rRNA from 1 species
ACGCACGCUGGCGGCGUGCUUCACCCCUGCCAGUCGCACGGAAAGGCUCCAGCUUGCUGGAGUACUCGAGUGGCGAACGGGUGAGUAACACGUGGGUAAUCUGCCCUGCACUCUGGGAUAAGCCUGGGAAACUGGGUCUAAUACUGGAUAUGACCUUUCUCCUUAUGGGGUUUGGUGGAAAGUUUUUCGGUGUAGGAUGAGCCCGCGGCCUAUCAGCUUGUUGGUGGGGUGAUGGCCUACCAAGGCGACGACGGGUAGCCGGCCUGAGAGGGUGAUCGGCCACAUUGGGACUGAGAUACGGCCCAGACUCCUACGGGAGGCAGCAGUGGGGAAUAUUGCACAAUGGGCGGAAGCCUGAUGCAGCGACGCCGCGUGAGGGAUGACGGCCUUCGGGUUGUAAACCUCUUUCAGCAGGGACGAAGCGUAAGUGACGGUACCUGCAGAAGAAGCACCGGCUAACUAUGUG